rnacentral:rRNA from 1 species
CCUACGGGAGGCAGCAGUGGGGAAUUUUGGACAAUGGGCGCAAGCCUGAUCCAGCCAUGCCGCGUGCGGGAAGAAGGCCUUCGGGUUGUAAACCGCUUUUGUCAGGGAAGAAAUCCUUUGAGAUAAUACCUCGGAGGGAUGACGGUACCUGAAGAAUAAGCACCGGCUAACUACGUGCCAGCAGCCGCGGUAAUACGUAGGGUGCGAGCGUUAAUCGGAAUUACUGGGCGUAAAGCGUGCGCAGGCGGUCUUGCAAGACAGAUGUGAAAUCCCCGGGCUCAACCUGGGAACUGCAUUUGUGACUGCAAGGCUAGAGUACGGUAGAGGGGGAUGGAAUUCCGCGUGUAGCAGUGAAAUGCGUAGAUAUGCGGAGGAACACCGAUGGCGAAGGCAAUCCCCUGGACCUGUACUGACGCUCAUGCACGAAAGCGUGGGGAGCAAACAGGAUUAGAUACCCUGGUAGUCCACGCCCUAAACGAUGUCAACUGGUUGUUGACGGCUUGCUGUUCAGUACGAAGCUAACGCGUGAAGUUGACCGCCUGGGAAGUCGGCCGCAAGGUUGAAACUCAAAGGAAUUGACCGGNGNGAGAGNGCGACGACGACGACGAGGGAGGAGG